rnacentral:rRNA from 2 species
AACGAACGCUGGCGGCAGGCCUAAUACAUGCAAGUCGAACGCCCGUAGCAAUACGGGAGUGGCAGACGGGUGAGUAACGCGUGGGAACAUACCCUUUGGUACGGAACAACUCCGGGAAACUGGAGCUAAUACCGUAUGUGCCCUAUGGGGGAAAGAUUUAUCGCCAAAGGAUUGGCCCGCGUCUGAUUAGCUAGUUGGUGGGGUAACGGCCCACCAAGGCGACGAUCAGUAGCUGGUCUGAGAGGAUGAUCAGCCACACUGGGACUGAGACACGGCCCAGACUCCUACGGGAGGCAGCAGUAGGGAAUAUUGGACAAUGGGCGAAAGCCUGAUCCAGCCAUGCCGCGUGAGUGAUGAAGGCCUUAGGGUUGUAAAGCUCUUUCGGCGGGGACGAUAAUGACGGUACCCGCAGAAGAAGCCCCGGCUAACUUCGUG